ACUUGAGGGCAGCAAGUAGCUGCAGCUGGAGGUAGCUGCCUAUCUGAUUCUGUUUGAGAGUCCGCCAAGUUGGGAUUUAAAUUAGACAUCAAGAAGAAUUUACAGACCGGCCUUGCCUUGUUCCACGGGUGAUUAUUAUGGCAUCCCACUGGACUGCACACUACUUGGGGCCAUGAGUGAGUGAAUCAAUGAAUGAACAGCUUGUGUUCCGGAAGCUCCUUGGCAACACAUGCAGGCGGGGAACGGGUCCAGGGAAAAUGGAGCUCUCUCCAGUGGAAGGCAGGUCACGAUGAGGGCCCAGGCUCUGGAUGGGCUGCCAAAGGGACCGUGCGGGGCUGGAACCGGAGAGCCCGAGAGAGCCCUGGGCAUGUGUCAGAGCCGGACAGGACCCAGCUGAGCCAGGACCUGGGUGGGGGCACCCUGGCCAUGGACACGCUGCCAGAUAACAGGACCAGGGUGGUGGUGUGGGAAGGGACCGGCAGCACUGGCAGUGCCUGGGAGCUCGUGGGAAAUGUGGAAUGUCGGAGU
rnacentral:lncRNA from 1 species